UACGGAGGGAGCUAGCGUUGUUCGGAAAUACUGGGCGUAAAGCGCACGUAGGCGGCGCAGCAAGUCAGGGGUGAAAUCCCGGGGCUCAACCCCGGAACUGCCCUUGAAACUGCAGUGCUAGAAUUCUGGAGAGGCGAGUGGAAUUCCGAGUGUAGAGGUGAAAUUCGUAGAUAUUCGGAAGAACACCAGUGGUGAAGGCGACUCGCUGGACAGACAUUGACGCUGAGGUGCGAAAGCGUGGGGAGCAAACAGG
rnacentral:rRNA from 1 species